AAAACCGCUAAAAGCCCAAGAGAACAAUGAGCAGAAGACACAAACGACUACAUAUAGAAAAACAGAAAGACAAAUGGCUCCCAAACAUAUGAAAAGAUGUUCGGCAUCACUGAUAAGAGAAACAAAAUUCCACUGAGAUACUCUUUCAUGCUACAGGAUCCCUUUACAAAAGGCAAACAUUUCUUGUGUGUGGUCAAGAAAAAGCAAAGAUAAUACAUGUGCUUCUUAGCUCUUAAUCGGAAAGAAUAUGCUGCCCAUGCCUUUGGCUUGAACCACUGUGCACCUGCUGACUGGGGGAAGAGAAAGAAAGGAGGUGAAAAGUGCUCUCAACAUGAGGGUGAAAACAAAUACUACUUUUGUCUAGGACAUACUUUUUACCUGAAAGUAGAAUGUUAAAAUCUAAGACUUUCUUCCCCUGAGAGUAGCUGCUUAGAGACUGGCCAGAGACCCAGGGCCUUGGGCCACUCCCAGCAGAGAGGAGCAUGUUCAUGAAAACUGACCCAGGCAGAUGGAGAAGAUAGAGUCAGGACUAUGUCAGGUAGUGGGCUGUAGCCUGGGCUGGUGAUCUGUGUGAGCAAAAUUCCAAGGGGUCCGGAAGUAGUAAUGACUGAUAGAUAAACAUGGUUUCAGGAAAGAGGACCAGAGGAAAGCAUUUAUUAUAGCCAGGGGUGAGCUUCAGCUGUACUAGGCAGUGAGUAGCAGACCCUAAAGCAUGACUAGAAGAAGCAAGAGCUAUGCAAAGCCACAGGAUCUAAGUGUUGGAUGAGGUGUACAGAGGAAUCCCUGAAAAUACCUGGGAGCCAAGUUGACUUGCUGCAACAUCUUCCAAAAGGAGCCUCCCUGCCCCAAUUUUACCAAUUUUCAGUUUCUCGUUUUAAAACCCAUCAGUGACUUUGCAUUGUCCCAAGAAUCAUUCUCAAAUUAUUUAGCUUUUCACAUUUUUCUCUUAUCACUUUCCUGUGCUUCAAACACCAUGGGAAAUGACAUAGAGACAGAAGCAUACACACAUGCUCACACCUACACACAAGCUCACCCACAUACACACACCCAUUUAAACAUAAACCAGUUGUGUCGCUCAUUUGCUCAAAAUUUCUAACAUUUUUCAUUUGAAUUACCAUCGUACUUAUAUAAUCUGUCCCUAAAACCAUCUGUGACCUCAUUUCCUACUACUUGCUCUCAUCUUGGUCAUUCUUGCUAUUUCUCUGACACAGGAACUACUACUGCCUCAAAGUCCUUGUGCUUUGGGGUUCCUGUGCCUAGAUAUUUGAUUAACCUGCUCUCUCAUUUUCCUCAAGUCUCAGCUCAACAUAUCACCUAAGAGUUAGGGAAGCACGAUCUGACUGCUCUGACAUAAAUGUGUCAUACUAUUCAGAGCACAAGUAUAAACCAUCAUUUCCCCUUUUUUUGCCUUAUUUUCCUUCAAGACAUUCAAAACUACCUUCAAAUUUAUAACAUUUUACAUGUAUGUCUCCUCUUCAUAAGAAAAAGGACUGGGUCUUAUUCAUUUUAUCACCAGGUCAUUAGUUACCUGAA
rnacentral:lncRNA from 1 species